rnacentral:rRNA from 1 species
GUGCCAGCCGCCGCGGUAAGACGAACCUGACAAACGUUAUUCGGAAUUACUGGGCUUAAAGGGUGCGUAGGCGGCGUGGCAAGUUGGGUGUGAAAUCCCUCGGCUCAACCGAGGAACUGCGCUCAAUACUGCCAUGCUCGAGGGAGACAGAGGUGAGCGGAACUUAGGGUGGAGCGGUGAAAUGCGUUGAUAUCCUAAGGAACACCGGUAGCGAAAGCGGCUCACUGGGUCUUUUCUGACGCUGAGGCACGAAAGCUAGGGUAGCGAACGGGAUUAGAAACCCCAGUAGUCC